UCUUUGUUUUUAUUCAUUAAGUUUCCUUACUCAUUCCUCGUCUUGAUGUGUUCGCGAGUUGUCACCAAUCGAGAGACACCUCCAGAGAAGGAAAUUCUCCUACGAAUUUCAAUAUAAUCCUAUCUUCUAUCGUUGUAGUAGUUGUCGUUGUCGUUGUCGUCUAGUCUUCAACAGACUUGCAAAACUAUGCACUAUUUCAUUUCCCCAUGUGUUUGACUGAAUAAAUGGCAGAAUCGAUCAACGUUCUUCACCAAUAUUGAAGCUUCUAUGAAAAGAAAAGGUGCACGACAUAUUAUUGAAGCAGACGGAAAAUAUAUUUGAUUCCCAUCAUAUUUGAGAACUUACAAAAAGUUUCCUGAUACUAAGAGGACAAUCAUAA